ensembl:lncRNA novel transcript
GCGCUGGCCCUCUCUCCUGGGACACGCACCGCCUCCAAUCCUGGUUUAUGCUGGGAUUGUAGUCAGGCAGCCCUGUGAGCAAUUUUUCAGAUUAACUCUUAAGUACUCCACGGCUACAUGCUCCUGAAGCUGUUAUAGGCCCAGCCUCAGAUCUGUGCAGGGCGGAUGCACAAGAGCAGAAUCUCCGUGGACAUCUUUCUGGAGCAUCAAUUUUACUGCAAGAUUUUGAAGAAACACAUUUAAUUGAUUUUCAAGGUGAGAAAUUAAACCUCGAAAACUAGACUGGAAAGUCAUCUACGCCUGAACUAUCAGACUUUCUUCAGAAGAAAACUCUAAGGAGAACAUAUUUUCCAUUAUUAUAAAUAUUACAAAUGAGAAAUCAUAGCAAGUUACCUGAAAAUGCUGCCCUGGCAGUUUCCUAAAUCACAACAUGUCCUGGGUAUGGUUUUAGGUGUAUUUUCUUUUUGGGGUGUGUUCACCUUUUGGAUAUAAAAAUUGGGGUUUUUGACCACAUCUUGUAAGUUUUCUGCUAUUAGUAGUUUCUUUACUUUUGUACCAUAUUUAAUUUUUCUGUGUCUUCCUCUUCUUCUCAGACUCAGUCACUCCACAAGUCUCUAAAGGCUCUGUUCAUUUUCUUCAAACAUGUUUCAUGUUGGAUGAUUUCUAUUGCUGUCUUCUGUUUCUACUCUGUGGAUAAGCUCAAGGGUGUGUGUGCGUGUGUGUGUGUGCGUGUUUUCCAUUUCAUUAUUUUUCUAUUUGGUUCUUCUUAUAAUUUUCAUUUCUCUGCUGAGGUUCCACAUCAGUUAAUUCAUUAUGAGAAUAUUUUCCUUUACUCUCAUGAACAUACUCAUAAGAGCUGAUUUUAAAUCCUUGUCUGCUGAUCUGAUUACAUCAUGUUGCUUUUUAUCUUGUGUAUACAUUACAUUUUCAUCUUUCUUCACACAUUUCAUGAAUUUUAAUGUGUUCUAUGAGUUUCUGGUGGUUAUAGAGACUCUAAAUUCUGCUGUAUUCUUUUGAAGAGCAUUGUUAUUAUUUGAAGAAGGGGUUAAUUUGGCUGGAUUCAAACUGCAAUACCUGUCUCUCCUGCAGUGGGCACAGCUGAAAUCCUCAUUCAGUUCUUAUGCACAUAUAUGUAUUUUAUAUAGAUGUGUGAUUCUAUGUAACUGUAUAUACUAUGCAGAUUUUGUCACAGUUACAUGUGAGAGUGUUAGUUCAACAAUACUCCAGUACUACUGGAAGCCAGAACCUUAGUUUUGUUUGCUUACUGGAUUUUAUAUAAAUGAAAUAAUAUAGUAUGGAUACUUUUACACCUACUUUCUUUUACAUGUCAUUAUGUUUGUGAUAUUCAUCUUUGCUGUUGCAGAUUGCUAUAAUUUGUACACUUUAAAAAGCAUUGUUUACACUGUGGUAAAAUAUACAUAAAAUUAACCACUUUAACCAUUUUUAAGUGUGAAGUGUGCAGGAAUUAAAUACAUUCACAUUGUUUUGCAACCACCAUCCCCAUCUAUAGGGAACAUUUUUUAUCUUGCAAAACUGAGUCUCUGUGCUGAUUAAGCAACAGCUCCCAGUUACCCUCCCUCUAGCCCAUAGGAACCACUCUUCUACUUUGUGUUUCUAUGAAUUUAAUUACCCUAAAUACCUCACGUGAGUGGAAUCAUACAGUGUUUGUCAUUUUGUGACUGGUUUAUUGUACUUAGCACAAUGUCCUUAAGGUUUAUCUAUGUUGUAGCAUGUAUCAGAAUUUUCUUACUUUUGCUAAGUGAAUAAUAUUCCACUGCAUGUAAAAACACAUUUUGUUUACCUACGUAUUUAUUGAUGUUGAUGAUUCAAGGAAAGCUUUGAUUGUUUCACCUUUUAGCUAUUGUGAAUAAUGCUGCUAGGAACCUAGGUGUAUGUAUAUCUCUUUGUGUGCCUGCUUUCAUAUCUUUUUGAGUAUAUCCCAGAAGCAAGAUUGCUGGAUUAUAAGGUAAUUAUAAGUGUAAUUGUAUUUGUUUGUUUGUUUGUUUUUCUGAGAUGGAGUCUUGCUCUGUUGCUCAGGCUGGAGUGCAGUGGUGUGAUCUCAGCUCACUGCAACCUCCGCCUCCUGUGUUCAAGUGAUUCUUCUGCCUCAGCCUCCUGAGUAGCUGGGAUUACAGGCGUGCACCACCAUGCCUGGCUAAUUUUUUUGUAUUUUUAUUAGAGACGGGGUUUCACCAUGUUGGCCAGGCUGGUCUCAAACUCCUGAACUCGUGAUCCACCCACCUCGGUCUCCCAAAGUGCUGGGAUUACAGAUGUAAGCCACUGCGCUUGGUGAUUCUCAUGGCAGGUGCGACAUUGUACUUGCCCACCAAUAGCUUACUAGGUUUCUAAUCACUCCACAUCCUCAUCAACACUGUUAUUUUCUGUUUUUUGAUAGUGGCUAUCCUAAUGGAUGUGAAGAGAUAGCUCAUUGUAGGCUUGAUUUGCAUUUUGCUAAUAAUUAGUUCUCUCGAGUAUAUUUUCAUAUGCUUUUUGGCCAUUUUACACCAUCUUUAAGAAAUGUCUGUUCAAGUCCUUUGCCCAUUUUUGAAUGAGGUAGUUUUUUUUUGUUGUUGUUUAGUUAUAGCAGUUCUUUAUAUAUUCCAGGUAUUAAUCUCUUAUCAGAUGUAUGAUGUGCAAAUAUUUUCCCAUGCUGUGCAUUGCUUUGCAAUAUUGUUGAUAAUAUCCUUUAAUGUGUAAAAGUUUUAUUUUAUUUUCAUAAAGUCCAAUUUGUCUUUAUUUUU